rnacentral:rRNA from 1 species
AAAUAUAAGAACUAGAUUAGUAUUAGUUAUAUACUUAAAAAUUAAAAAAUUUGGCGGUGAUUUAAUCUUUUCAGAGGAAUUUGUUUUUUAAUCGAUAAUCCACGGAAAAUCUUACUUAUUUUAGCAUUAAAUUUUAAAUUUAGUCAGUUUGUAUACCAUCAUUAUUAGAUAAUUUUAAAAGAAGAAAUUAUUAAAUAUAAAUUAUUAUUGAAAUUAGAUCAUGGUGCAGCUAAUAAAUAAGUUAAAAUGAAUUACAAUAAAUUAUUUUAUAAUGGAUUAAUAAAGUAAAUUUUUAUUAUGAAGGAGGAUUUGAUAGUAUUAUAAUUUUAACAAGUUUGUUAGAAAAUGGCUCUAAAUCAUGUACAUAUCGCCCGUCGCUUUCGUUUAUAAAUGAAAUAAGUCGUGACAUA